GUAGCGGCGAGCGAAGCGGCAACAGCCCAGAUUUGAAAUCCGGUGCUCUUUGGGCGCCCGAGUUGUAAUCUGCAGAUGGGUUUUCCGGUGAGGCGCGCGUCCAAGUUCCCUGGAAUGGGACGCCGUAGAGGGUGAGAGCCCCGUACUGGCGCCGCGCCGAGCCUCUGUGAGGCCCAUUCGACGAGUCGAGUAGUUUGGGAAUGCUGCUCUAAUUGCGAGGUAAAUCUCUCGUAAGGCUAAAUACCGGCCAGAGACCGAUAGCGCACAAGUAGCGUGAGCGAAAGAUGAAAAGAGCCUUGGAUAAGGGCGUCAAAAAGCAUGUGAAAUCGUUAUGGGGGAAGCGCUCGUCGCCAGACGUGGCGGCGGCUGGUUAGCCGGCGUUCUCGCCGGCGCACUCGGACCGCCGCCAGGCCAGCAACAGCUCGGGCUGGGGCCCACUGCCGGAGGGAACGUAGCUCCCCUUGUGGGAGUGUUAUAGCCCUUCGGCGACGCCCUGGACCGGGCUGAGGACCGCGCCUUGCGCACGGAUGCUGGCGUAAUGGCGCCUAGCGACCCGUCUUGAAACACGGACCAAGGAGUUGACCUAGCGCGCGAGUGUACGGGUGUAAAGCCCUUGCGCGUAGUGAAAGCAAACGCUGGUGGGAGCCUUCGGGCGCACCAUCGACCGAUCCUGAUGCUCCGCGGAUGGAUUUGAGUAGGAGCGCGCUGGGUCUGACCCGAAAGAAAGUGAACUAUGCAUGGGUAGGGUGAAGCCAGAGGAAACUCUGGUGGAGGCUCGCAGCGGUUCUGACGUGCAAAUCGAUCGUCAAACCUGUGCAUGGGGGCGAAAGACCAAUCUAUCUUUCUAGUAG
rnacentral:rRNA from 1 species